AUGUGCAUAUUCAUAUGUAUAUAUAUAUAUAUAUAUAUAUAUAUAUGGUGUAUAUAUAUGUAUGAACAUAUAUAUGUGUGUCUUUGUGCAUGUGUAUAAAUGUGUGUGUGUAUAUAUAUGCACACACACACACAUCUAUCCCUCACACCUUCUGUGGAAAAAAAAAAAUUCUAAAAGUUCUGAAAAAGAAUUCAGAAGUAAUUUCUUUUCAAAACAGUAGCUGCCUCUAAUACCUCUAACAGCUUUGACAGCCCAUACAUUUCUCAAGCAAAUUUUAUAUCUGGUUCAUAUUUCUCAUUGUACCUGAUCAAGCUUACAAAGUUUUGCCAAUUGUACCCAUCUUACAUUGAGAGAAUAUUAUAUUGUCUACUUUGAUGGUUCAGAAUCUGGAUCAGUUAUGACUAAAAUAUUGAGUCACUUUUCAACUAAGAUCUCUUGGUUCAGAAUUUUCUGCCUUCCAGAAAGCCUACACUGCUCUGCAUCACAUACCAGUACUCAACACAGUGAACUGGAAACCAAUAAUUCUGUUUCUCACAAAAAUGUCAGGGCUUCACAUUGUUUUUAAUACACAGACGUAACAGGUGGCUCCCAUUUUCUCAUGGAUGACUGCGAACUGCUAUGGGCUCAUACAAGUACCUUGCCGUUCCUUUCUGUCUCUCUGGGCAUGUCUACACAAGACAUUUACUGUGGAAUUGACUAAUUAUAUCUACAGUAAACACCUUGCAUCUACACAUGCACCCAUAUUAGGCUGGAGUAAACUAAUUAACUCUGCAGCAGGGUAGUACUUAUAAAUAGAAGUACUACCCUGCUGUGGAGCUUUUUAUUCUAAAACAGCACAUGUGUAGAUGCUACCCUGCCUGCCUGCUGGCUAGCCCCACACUGAAGCAUCCUCAUGCCCCAGCCAGCCCUUCCAUACCUUGUUGAGCUAAGGGCUGGUAGGCUAGCCCCCUGGAGCUCCCUGGGUCAAUAUGCUGUGGUCCUAGGCGCGCGUUCAAACAACGUGCCCAGGAGCAAUAAACUCCAGAACAAUAAACUCCAGAGAUUAGUGAUUCAUAUUAAUUGCAUGUGUAGAUGUGCCCUCUUUCUCUCUUUUUGUUGCCAGUGUACAUGCUCAGUGUGUGCAUAGCUAUGCAGCGGUCCACAUAUGCAGGAUUAUACAUCCCCGAAUAGAAUUCCUCUGGGUGUGUGCCAAAAACGCCGUGUAGACAACCAAAAGAUGACUUCUUAGAAUGACCAGAAAGGGAAUAGUUUGCAACCAAUAAUGCUAGAAAGAACCUUUUUGGUCAUGAAGUGCCCUCCCCUGCUAUUUCAGACUCUCUUUCUGAUGUGGAAGAGAGUGAUGUUAUAUGAUAUUUGAAUAAACUGUAACCAACCUUUAUGUCUCUAAUUUUGCAAACCUGAGUCAAGGUGUGCCCCAGUAAAUGGCUUCCAGUUGCCUUAUUAGCUGACUGUACUUGAAUAGUAACUACAUCCCUCCACAGCGAAAAUAUAACCCCAAAGGGAACAGAAAGUAGGAUAGGAACUGAAAUGAAACUAUCUGAUAUCAAAGUAGUUCCCUGAAAGAGAGCCUGCAUUGAUGGAAGUGUAAUAAAAUAAAAAUCACUGAAUGUGAAGACUUCUGAAUCAAGACACAAGUGGUAGAAAACUACAGGAAACUAGGAGACCAUUUAUCUAUUUAUAGUUAUAACAAGUACUGUUCAAGUCAAAGAUAAUUCAAACUGUAAACAGCUUUCCAAUAAUUUAAUACUUCUUGUACCAUGCCUUCUUUGCAGAUAGUUUCCGUAUUUUGUCUUUAAUUGCUGUUCCCUAUUAUUAGCAAUCAUUAGAGGUUUUAGAGGAAUAGACACUAUGCUUAUUCAAGGAUUGAACUGAAAUGAAGUGAAAUUGUUAUGACUGCAAAAAAAUAGAUCUUUUCUCCAUUUUAUGUUAUUA